rnacentral:rRNA from 1 species
AUUGAACGCUGGCGGCAUGCCUUACACAUGCAAGUCGAACGGCAGCACGGGUGCUUGCACCUGGUGGCGAGUGGCGGACGGGUGCGUAAUACAUCGGAACAUGUCCUGUAGUGGGGGAUAGCCCGGCGAAAGCCGGAUUAAUACCGCAUACGAUCUACGGAUGAAAGCGGGGGACCUUCGGGCCUCGCGCUAUAGGGUUGGCCGAUGGCUGAUUAGCUAGUUGGUGGGGUAAAGGCCUACCACGGCGUCGAUCAGUAGCUGGUCUGAGAGGACGACCAGCCACACUGGAACUGAGACCCGGCCCAGACUCCUACGGGAGGCAGCAGUGGGGAAUUUUGGACAAUGGGCGAAAGCCUGAUCCAGCAAUGCCGCGUGUGUGAAGAAGGCCUUCGGGUUGUAAAGCACUUUUGUCCGGAAAGAAAAGCUUGGGCCUAAUACGGUCGGGGGAUGACGGUACCGGAAGAAUAAGCACCGGCUAACUACGUG